rnacentral:piRNA from 1 species
UUGACUCCUGCACUGACUCCUGGCU